rnacentral:rRNA from 1 species
CAAUAGCGUAUAUUAAAGUUGUUGCAGUUAAAAAGCUCGUAGUUGGAUUUCUGCUGAGGACGAUCGGUCCGCCCACUGGGUGAGUAUCUGGCUCGGCCUUGGCAUCUUCUUGGAGAACGUUGCUGCACUUGACUGUGUGGCGCGGUAUCCAGGACUUUUACUUUGAGGAAAUUAGAGUGUUUCAAGCAGGCGCACGCCUUGAAUACAUUAGCAUGGAAUAAUGAGAUAGGACCUUGGUUCUAUUUUGUUGGUUUCUAGAGCUGAGGUAAUGAUUAAUAGGGAUAGUUGGGGGCAUUCGUAUUUAACUGUCAGAGGUUAAAUUCUUGGAUUUGUUAAAGACGGACUACUGCGAAAGCAUUUGCCAAGGAUGUUUUCAUUGA